UUGCACGCAGUAUCGUAGGUGUCUCUUAUAAUAUAGAGCGAUCUUGAUACAUAGUGCAUAUAUUAAGAGCUGUUUAUUCAGCAAGCAGCCAGACAACUGCUGAGAUGGAUCCACAGAUUCACGGCUUAUUCAUGCUGUUUCUCUACUAAUUCCAUCUUACAUUU
rfam:Cicer arietinum chromosome Ca7, whole genome shotgun sequence.